rnacentral:tRNA from 1 species
GCACCAGUGGUCUAGUGGUAGAAUAGUACCCGUCCCACGAUAUAGAACCUGGGUUCGAUUCUUGGCUGGUGCA